rnacentral:rRNA from 1 species
CGUGGCGGCGUGCCUAACACAUGCAAGUCGUACGAGAAAGUUGGCUUCGGCCGAUGAGUAAAGUGGCGCACGGGUGAGUAAUGCGUGGAUAAUCUGCCCUUUAGUUGGGAAUAACGUACCGAAAGGUGCGCUAAUACCUGAUAAUACUGCAUAACUACUGUUGUGUAGUCAAAGAAGGCCUCUGUUUACAAGCUUUGCUGAAGGAUGAGUCCGCGUACCAUUAGCUGGUUGGUGGGGUAAUGGCCUACCAAGGCUACGAUGGUUAGCUGGUCUGAGAGGAUGAUCAGCCACACUGGAACUGAGACACGGUCCAGACUCCUACGGGAGGCAGCAGUGAGGAAUAUUGCGCAAUGGGGGCAACCCUGACGCAGCAACGCCGCGUGAGUGAGGAAGGUUUUCGGACCGUAAAGCUCUGUCGAGCGGGAAGAAAUGUAUCAUGGCUAAUAUCCAUGAUACUUGACGGUACCGCUAAAGGAAGCACCGGCUAACUCCGUG